CACGAGGGGACGUGAAAGGGGGUUGGGCAACCGGGUAACCUGACUAAGCAAGAAAUUUCAUUUUCACAUUUCACUUUUCGGCUCAUAAAUUGAACGCCUCAGACAUUGGCAGCCAUUAAUUUUGUCUAAAUUGGAGCAAAAACCAUAAAUGAUUGGCAUUAUUGAUCCGGUUACGAGACCAGCCAGCCAGCCAGCCAGCCAGUCAACCAGCCAACCCCCUUCCUUCCCUCAUUCACUCUUUCAACGGCCAGACCCCGGAGGCAUUCAACGCUCAGCCGGUUAUGCGACUUCAAUUCACGGCCAAGGUCUGACCAGCGCUCGAGGCGAAGGCGAAGGCGCCACUUGAUGUGAGCUCUGAACACAAACUGGUUAUCUUACAGUAGCCACGCGUCCAGCUCGUAAUUGUUGAACAGACCUCUCCCCCUACUAAACGAUUAACGAGCAACAGACAGAGUGCAAAUUAAUUCGAUGGCUAUAACUGUUAUUCACUAAUGAUGAUUUAUCGAAGAUGUCAGACUACAUUUCUCAAUCUUGAUACAAAUCAAUGCUAAUAUAUAUCCAAGAUUUCAGAUUUGGAAUAUUUCCGUGGUUUCCAAUUGAUAAAGAAUUUUUAAUUGCGCCGAUAAAACAAAAUCCAAAACGAAGGCGGCAAAUGACAAA